CCGGCACGGGUGAGUAACACGUAUCCAACCUGCCGUCUACUCUUGGCCAGCCUUCUGAAAGGAAGAUUAAUCCAGGAUGGCAUCAUGAGUUCACAUGUCCGCAUGAUUAAAGGUAUUUUCCGGUAGACGAUGGGGAUGCGUUCCAUUAGAUAGUAGGCGGGGUAACGGCCCACCUAGUCAACGAUGGAUAGGGGUUCUGAGAGGAAGGUCCCCCACUGGAACUGAGACACGGCCCAA
rnacentral:rRNA from 1 species